rnacentral:rRNA from 1 species
CGCGUAAUACGUAAGGGUGCGAGCGUGUCCCGAUACUGGCGUAAGAGCUCGUAGUUGAUUUGUCGCGUCGUCUGUGAAUCCGGGCUUACUUCGGGCGUGCAGGCGAUACGGGCAUACUAGAGUGCUGUAGGGGAGACUGGAAUUCCUGGUGUAGCGGGUGAAAUGCGCAGAUAUCAGGAGGAACACCGAUGGCGAAGGCAGGUCUCUGGGCAGUUACUGACGCUGAGGAGCGAAAGCAUGGGUAGCGAACAGGAUUAGAUACCCUGGUAGUCCAUGCCGUAAACGGUGGGCGCUAGGUGUGGGGGUUUUAUUUACGAUUCCCGUGCCGUAGCUAACGCAUUAAGCGCCCCGCCUGGGGAGUACGGCCGCAAGGCUAAAACUCAAAGGAAUUGACGGGGGCCCGCACAAGCGGCGGAGCAUGUGGAUUAAUUCGAUGCAACGCGAAGAACCUUACCUGGGCUUGACAUACACCGGAUCGCUGCAGAGAUGUAGUUUCCCUUGUGGCUGGUGUACAGGUGGUGCAUGGUUGUCGUCAGCUCGUGUCGUGAGAUGUUGGGUUAAGUCCCGCAACGAGCGCAACCCUUGUCUUGUGUUGCCAGCACGUUAUGGUGGGGACUCGCGAGAGACUGCCGGGGUUAACUCGGAGGAAGGUGGGGAUGACGUCAAAUCAUCAUGCCCCUUAUGUCCAGGGCUUCACACAUGCUACAAUGGUCGGUACAGUGGGUUGCGAUACCGUGAGGUGGAGCUAAUCCCUUAAAGCCGGUCUCAGUUCGGAUUGGAGUCUGCAACUCGACUCCAUGAAGUCGGAGUCGCUAGUAAUCGCAGAUCAGCAACGCUGCGGUGAAUACGUUCCCGGCCUUGCACACACCGCCCGUC